rnacentral:rRNA from 1 species
UACGGGGGGGGCAAGCGUUGUUCGGAAUUACUGGGCGUAAAGGGCUCGUAGGCGGCCAACUAAGUCAGACGUGAAAUCCCUCGGCUUAACCGGGGAACUGCAUCUGAUACUGGAUGGCUUGAGUUCGGGAGAGGGAUGCGGAAUUCCAGGUGUAGUGGUGGAAUGCGUAGAUAUCGGGAGGAACACCAGUGGCGCAGGCGGCGUCCUGGACCGGCACUGACGCUGAGGAGCGAAAGCGUGGGGAGCGAUCCGG